UGUGUUCACUGAAAAACGUAACAGUUUGGAAGAACGUGAGGGUGAAUAAAGAAUGACAUAAUUUAAGGGAAAUCAACCAACUUUAACCUUGAACAAGAGUUCUAAAUGUAGCAUUGUCCUCUGUAACCUGAUCUCCACGUGUCUCUAGGCUGGAUUUGGACAUGGUUUGCCGAUAUCCAGACUGUACGCCCGCUACUUUCAAGGGGACCUCAAACUGUACUCGAUGGAAGGCGUAGGGACCGAUGCAGUCAUUUACCUGAAGGCUCUCUCCAGCGAAUCAUUUGAGCGCCUGCCCGUCUUCAACAAAUCUGCUUGGCGACACUAUCAAGGAGGCCCAGGAGCGGAUGACUGGAGCAACCCGAGCAAAGAGCCCCGAGAUGCCUCAAAAUACAAGGCUAAAAGAUAAUCGCACUCACCCCAUCCAUGUCCCACGGCACCCAUUACAGACCUACCGUCUUUAGUCUAGCUUCAAUUGCUAUGGCAACAUCACAUCGAUGCUGAGUGUUCUAUACUUGUAAGCAUUUCCAGAGCAGGAGAGCUGAUGAUGUAAGUGUCAUCAAGUCUCUGCUCCUUCCUCCUUUGUGCAGCUACAGACGUAAGAUGCAGAAUCUCCUUUUAGUGUCUUCCAGGGCGGUUAGAGGAAAGAGUGAGCAUUCGUGGCCGGGGUGUCAGAUACUUUGGUUCUUUCUUUUGUUUGUGCCACACAGUAGCCUCCCUGUUUCAUUUGCUAAAACACCCAGAGAAGGACGCCUGGAGUUUGAGAAGGUCAGAACAAAGGUUCACUGCCAUUCACAAGCACUAGAGAGAGUUUGUCCACAGUUUCUGUGACUACGGCUCCCGGUUUUUGGCAGUGGACUAAUGGAGAAAUAAUUUGAAAAGGCUCUGAAGAAAUGAAAAUAAUUUGGUUAAAACUCAAAACGACAUGAAAGCUGUCAAGAACAUUCACCCUAAAACAAAAGAAAAAUCUGGAAUUAUAUUUUGCAGGAAGAAAAUUAAAUAUUAUAGUACAAUUAGCCUAGUCUUGUUUUGUUCUGCAUUAUGACAUUAAUUUAAUAAUGUGUUAUAUUUUAUAAAAGUAAGUGUGUGUGUGUGUGUGUGUGUGUGUGUGUAUAUAUAUAUAUAUAUAUAUAUAUAUAUAUAUAGUAAAGUAAAGUGUAUUAUUUUAAAUUAUAAAAUCAUUUUAUUGCAUUAUGUACAAUUAUUAUAAUGUAGUAUUUUAUUUAAGGUAUUUACAUAUUUGUACGUUUAAUUUAUACUCAUUUUAAUUGGGGGAAAAACUGCCCAGACAAGAUUAUUUUAAUUAUUGAUUAACAGUAAUUAGAAUUUGAGAGGAAAUUCUCCUCAAAAUGUCAUAAUGCAAACAAUUUCAUUAAUUCUAAAAAAUCAUUUUCUUAUUGCAAAAUUUGUUCUUCUUUUUCUUUGAAUGUUUUGGAUGAAAUGUGAGCACAUAUUUUUUAAGGAGCAGAGGAGUAUGCUGAUAAACUGAUAUUUCCAGGUAUGGUGGAAUGCACUUUUAAACUAAUCAGAUACACUUUUAAACAUGUAGUUUCAGAUAUUUAUUUAUUUAUUUGACCCCCAUUUAUUUUAAGUUUCCCCCAAGUUGUGCAUUUGUGUAGGGCUGUGCUGAUUCUGAGCUGGGUCUCAGUGUGAGCAGCAGCAGUAUAUUACCUAAAUCCACUUAUAGGUCAGCAAUACUGAACUUCCUGCUAAUGUAAAUGAAGAGAGACUGUGGUAAACUUUGAAGAAGAAUGCACAACUAUAGCCUAUUAUAGCAUUAGUGCUAUAGUCAUUAAUUAUUAUUUUUUACUGCUUUACUACCAUUAUAGCCACUGCAUGCAUGGUAACAUAGUUGAUAUAAAUAUAUUUGCUUGAAGACUGUUGAAACAGAAAGUUUAGAUGUUUAGACCAGCAACAUUUGAUUGAGAGAAAAUGCAGUUAAAUAUAAACUCAUAGAAGCAACUUGGCUGCCUUCUGAAUCUGAGUUUUAGCUUAAUAUUUAUUUUCAUUAUACCACUACUUCUCAGACAUUCCUUUGAUGGAGUUAAUGUUUUCCAGAGGACCUCGUCUUAAAAUAAUUCCAGAUGCUGUUUGGGACUGUUUGAGUGCAGUGAUUCUAAGAAGAGGGGUUAUAAAUUAAAAAUUAAAUUAAAUGCAUUUAGCAGACACUUUAAUCCAAACCGACUUAGUGUUAUUCAGGUUAUAAAAUUUUACCUAUCAUGUGUUCCCGGGGAAUCGAACCCCCAACCUUGCGCUUCAUAGCAAGGAACCGAUUAAAGGAACCUAUGCUUAACUACAAGCUUAACUUUGCCCAGGCUAGUUAGCUUGUCUGUUACAUUGUGUCAUUUAACAUUGACAUUGUCCUAUUAAAAAAAACAAAAAAC